CACAGUGGUCUGGAUGAACCAGUGGGGUGA
rnacentral:piRNA from 2 species